AGCGGCGGACGGGUGAGUAACACGUGGGUAACCUGCCCAAGAGACUGGGAUAACACCUGGAAACAGAUGCUAAUACCGGAUAUCAACACUAGACGCAUGUCUAGAGUUUGAAAGAUGGUUCUGCUAUCACUCUUGGAUGGACCUGCGGUGCAUUAGCUAGUUGGUAAGGUAACGGCUUACCAAGGCAAUGAUGCAUAGCCGAGUUGAGAGACUGAUCGGCCACAUUGGGACUGAGACACGGCCCAAACUCCUACGGGAGGCAGCAGUAGGGAAUCUUCCACAAUGGACGAAAGUCUGAUGGAGCAACGCCGCGUGAGUGAAGAAGGGUUUCGGCUCGUAAAGCUCUGUUGGUAGUGAAGAAAGAUAGAGGUAGUAACUGGCCUUUAUUUGACGGUAAUUACUUAGAAAGUCACGGCUAACUACGUGCCAGCAGCCGCGGUAAUACGUAGGUGGCAAGCGUUGUCCGGAUUUAUUGGGCGUAAAGCGAGUGCAGGCGGUUCAAUAAGUCUGAUGUGAAAGCCUUCGGCUCAACCGGAGAAUUGCAUCAGAAACUGUUGAACCUGAGUGCAGAAGAGGAGAGUGGAACUCCAUGUGUAGCGGUGGAAUGCGUAGAUAUAUGGAAGAACACCAGUGGCGAAGGCGGCUCUCUGGUCUGCAACUGACGCUGAGGCUCGAAAGCAUGGGUAGCGAACAGGAUUAGAUACCCUGGUAGUCCAUGCCGUAAACGAUGAGUGCUAAGUGU
rnacentral:rRNA from 1 species